GUAAUAACACUGUCCGGUAGUGAAUGCCUUUAUAAGCCAUUGGAAUGACUAUAAAGUUACAGGCCCCUGUGCAGGGCCAAUGCUUCCAAUUUUCUUUCUUAUGCAGUAUUCUUCCUACAAUCGCCAGUUUUUCCAAGCAAAUGUCGUGCGAUGAUCCAUGCGCCUGAUCUGCCGUGAUACGGUCUCUAUAAACGGCACGAUGAUUACCUGGCAUAUUGUUCUCAAUUUUCCAUACGAUGAUGAUCAAAACAUUACCGCAUCCACUAUCGAUAUGGGAUAGAGGCAGUCAAUUAUUCCACCCAUUAAUGGCUAGGGUUAUCUGAUUUUUCCUCAAAAUCGUGGUUUAAAGCUUUUGAGGAUUACAUCAAGUUGGACAGCUUAUGGUACUCUUGGUCAUUAACAUUCUACAGAUCAUGAGAGGGUUUCCAUAACAUCAAAGUGUUCUUUGCAUUUGUGAUCAAAAUACCCACAGUGUCUUCUAUAGGGUAUUGAGUGUGAUGACCAUUAGGAAGGGUAUUAAAAUAAUCUUUUAUAUAUUCUAGAUAAUGGUCAUCAUAAUUGCCGUAUUAGUGUAACUAUUGCUUCUUUAAUUAGAAGGCCUGGUUAGUUUUUUUGUUUUUAGUUUUUAAAGCGUAUUUAGCAUUUUAGCUUCAGUUAAACGGUUUGUUCUUUUUAGAACACUCUCAUGUAAACCUCUAUAUAUGUGAUUUUCUAAGUAAUUAAUUUUUCA